rnacentral:rRNA from 1 species
CGUAACAAGGUUUCCGUAGGUGAACCUGCGGAAGGAUCAUUAAUGAAUUGUUAGGGCGCUCUUUUUAGAGGUCCGACCCCUUCAUAUCCUUCACCCUGUGCACACACACAUUUUUACACCCAUUUUCAAACACCUGAGUCAUCAGAAUGUAAACAGUCUCUUAGUUGAGCAUAAAACAAAUUAAAACUUUCGGCAACGGAUCUCUUGGCUCCCGCAUCGAUGAAGAACGCAGCGAAAUGCGAUACGUAAUGUGAAUUGCAGAAUUCAGUGAAUCAUCGAAUCUUUGAACGCACCUUGCACUCUUUGGUAUUCCGAAGAGUAUGUCUGUUUGAGUGUCAUGAAACUCUCAACCCCCCUGUUUUGUAACGAGAUAGGCGUGGGCUUGGUCUAUGGCUGUCUGCCGGCUUGUAACGAGUCGGCUCGGCUGAAAUACACGAGCAACGCAAUAGUCUGGAUUUAGACGGCUUGACUCGGCGUGAUAAUUAUCACUCGCUGAGGACGUCUUGAUAUCCACAAUAGUUCGGUGCUUCUAGCUCGUUUGUGAAAUACCAAACAUCUUUAGCUUUAGACCUCAAAUCAGGCAGGACUACCCGCUGAACUUAAGCAUAUCAAUAAGCGGAGGAAAAGAAACUAACAAGGAUUCCCCUAGUAACGGCGAGUGAAGUGGGAAGAGCUCAACUUUAAAAUCUGGCAGCUUCGCUGUCCGAGUUGUAGUCUCGAGUAGUGUUUUCCGCGCUGGAACGUGUAUGAGUCUGUUGGAAUACAGCGUCAUAGAGGGUGAGAACCCCGUUCAUGACACGCCUACCAGUGCUAUGUGAUACACUUUCGAUGAGUCGAGUUGUUUGGGAAUGCAGCUCAAAAUGGGUGGUAAAUUCCAUCUAAAGCUAAAUAUUGGCGGGAGACCGAUAGCAAACAAGUACCGUGAGGGAAAGAUGAAAAGCACUUUGGAAAGAGAGUUAAAAGUACGUGAAAUUGUCGAAAGGGAAACGCUUGAAGUCAGGCGUGCGCAGCUUUAUGCUAAUGCAGGCCAGCAUCAGUUUUGCGAGUCGGAUAAAGGUUUGGGGAAGGUAGCAGCUCCGGCUGUGUUAUAGCCUCUUGCUGAAUACGAAUUGCGAGACUGAGGAACGCAGCGCGCCGAAAGGCAUAGGGUCCGCCCUAUACGCGCUUAGGAUGCUGGUGAAAUGGCUUUAAACGACC